UAAACGCAGUUUCCUAUCAAUUGUUACAAAACUGUUUAAAUAGCAGUGGUUAUCAAGUCUGCUUCACUUUGAAAAUCAAAGAAAAUAAAAUGAACAAGCUACUACUCGUCGCUAUUUUGCUCGGCAUGCUUAUGAUGGUGCAAGUCUCCAAAGCCAUAUGGUGGGGACGGCGUAGAAAUGGAAAAGAGCGUAAUUAUUAUUAUGGCGAUGAGAGGAGCAAAAUGGAACCGGAAGAAGAUUCUAACAUGAACUUUGAAAAUCUUGAUGAUUUACAAGUUUUAGAAAACCCGAU